rnacentral:tRNA from 1 species
GCCGAUAUAGCUUAAUUGGUAGAGCAAUGCAUUCGUAAUGCAAAGGUUGUAGGUUCGAAUCCUAUUGUCGGCA